rnacentral:rRNA from 1 species
CGCUGGCGGCGUGCUUAACACAUGCAAGUCGAACGGAAAGGCCCUGCUUUGUGGGGUGGCUCGAGUGGCGAACGGGUGAGUAACACGUGAGUAACCUGCCCUUGACUUUGGGAUAACUUCAGGAAACUGGGGCUAAUACCGGAUAGGAGCUCCUGCUGCAUGGUGGGGGUUGGAAAGUUUCGGCGGUUGGGGAUGGACUCGCGGCUUAUCAGCUUGUUGGUGGGGUAGUGGCUUACCAAGGCUUUGACGGGUAGCCGGCCUGAGAGGGUGACCGGCCACAUUGGGACUGAGAUACGGCCCAGACUCCUACGGGAGGCAGCAGUGGGGAAUAUUGCACAAUGGGCGGAAGCCUGAUGCCAGCAACGCCGCGUGCGGGAUGACGGCCUUCGGGUUGUAAACCGCUUUCGCCUGUGACGAAGCGUGAGUGACGGUAAUGGGUAAAGAAGCACCGGCUAACUACGUGCCAGCCGCCGC